rnacentral:tRNA from 1 species
AAGGAGUUAGUUAAAAUAUAACAUUAGAUUGUCAAUCUAAAAUAACUAAUUUAUAGUACACCUUG